UGGUGACCCCCCACUGCUCCUACUGCUGCCAUCCCCUGCCCCCCUUGUGCUCCGUUUACCACUUGGCCCCAUUGGGAAUGAUACCCCCCCAUUGUGCCAUAUAGAGGGGAGGGGGGAGCAGUGUGGCACCACCGGGACACCGGGAUGGCACCAUAAGGGCACCGGGAUGGCACCGGGAUGGCACCAUAAAGGGCAUUGUGAUGGAACCAUGGGGACACCGGGAUGGCACCAAGAUGGCACUGGGAUGGCACCGGGAUGGCACCAUGGGAUGGCAUCAUGGGAUGGCAUCAUGGCAGCACCAGGAUGGCACCAGGAUGGCACCAUGGGGACAUGGGGAUGGCACCAAGAUGGGACCAUGGGAACAUCGGGAUAGGACCAUGGGGACACUGGGAUGGCACCAGGAUGGCACCACCGGGACACCGGGAUGGAACCAGAAGGGCACCAAGAUGGCACCAAGAUUGCACCACAGUGACACCAAGAUGGAACCAGGGUGGUACCAUGGGGACACCGGGAUGGCACAAGGAUAACACCAUAAGGGCACUGGGAUGGCACCAAGAUGGCACCAUGGGGGCACUGGGAUGGCACCAGGAUGGCACCAUGGGGGCACUGGGAUGGAACAAGGAUGGCACCAUGGGGACACCAUGAUGGCACCAUGGGGGCAUCGGGAUGGCACCAAGAUGGCACCAUGGGGACACCAAGAUGGCACUGAGAUGGCACCACCGGAACACCGGGAUGGCACCAUGACAGCUUAGGGGCACCAAGAUGUCACCAUGGGGGCACCGGGAUGGCACCAUAAGGGCACUGGGAUGGCACCAUGGGGGCACCGGGAUGGCACCAAGAUGGCACCAUGGGGGCACCAGGAUGGCACCAUAAGGGCACUGGGAUGGCACCAUGGGGAGACCGGGAUGGCACCGGGAUGGCACCAUGACAGCACUGUGAUGGCACCAUGGGGACACUGGGAUGGAACCAAGACAAUCCUGGUCCGUCUCCUCCCCUCCUCCUCGCAGUCCAUUCCCACACAUCCCAUCCUGUCCCGCUCCGCUCGGUCCGGUUCGGUUCCAGCGCCGCCGAGCAGCACCCGGGAGGGGCAGCAGGAUGGAGCGGGACCGGGAUGUGACGGGCGGCCAUGCCACGUGUGGGGCACAGAGCAGACACCGACGGACGGGGCGAUGCGGGGCGACGUCAUUCCUGGGCUGGAUAUCGGCCGCACGGUGCCCGAGGAGCCCAAAGGGGGUGGAUAAGAAUGGAGGCGGUGACGUGGCAGAGGAGCGGAAUGCGGAGGAGCUGCAGCGGGUGCAGGAAAUGCAAAGGUGGGGGGGCUG